rnacentral:rRNA from 1 species
UAGUCCACGCCGUAAACGAUGUCUACUUGGAGGUUGUGGCCUUGAGCCGUGGCUUUCGGAGCUAACGCGUUAAGUAGACCGCCUGGGGAGUACGGUCGCAAGAUUAAAACUCAAAUGAAUUGACGGGGCCCGCACAAGCGGUGGAGCAUGUAGUUUAAUUCGAUGCAACGCGAAGAACCUUACCUGGGUUUGACAUAUACGUAGUAGUGAACCGAAAGGGGAACGACUCUUCGGAGAGCGUAUACAGGUGCUGCAUGGCUGUCGUCAGCUCGUGUCGUGAGAUGUUGGGUUAAGUCCCGCAACGAGCGCAACCCUUGUCGUUAGUUACAUGUGUCUAGCGAGACUGCCGGUGUCAAGUCGGAGGAAGGUGAGGACGACGUCAAGUCAGCAUGGCCUUUAUAUCCAGGGGCUACACACACGCUACAAUGGGGUAAUACAAUAGGAAGCGGAAGGGGCGAACCUGGAGCAAAUCCCGUAAGGUUACCCGUAGUUCGGAUUGCAGGCUGC